GACGAACGCUGGCGGCGUGCCUAAUACAUGCAAGUCGAGCGCAGGAAACUGACGGAACUCUUCGGAGGGAAGGCAGUGGAAUGAGCGGCGGACGGGUGAGUAACACGUAAGGAACCUGCCUCAAGGAUUGGGAUAACUCCGAGAAAUCGGAGCUAAUACCGGAUAGUUCAACGGACCGCAUGGUCCGCUGAUGAAAGGCGCUCCGGCGUCACCUUGAGAUGGCCUUGCGGUGCAUUAGCUAGUUGGUGGGGUAACGGCCCACCAAGGCGACGAUGCAUAGCCGACCUGGGAGGGUGAUCGGCCACACUGGGACUGAGCCACGGCCCAGACUCCUACGGGAGGCAGCAGUAGGGAAUCUUCCACAAUGGACGAAAGUCUGAUGGAGCAACGCCGCGUGAGUGAUGAAGGUUUUCGGAUCGUAAAACUCUGUUGUAAGGGAAGAACACGUACGAGAGGGAAUGCUCGUACCUUGACGGUACCUUACGAGAAAGCCACGGCUAACUACGUGCCAGCAGCCGCGGUAA
rnacentral:rRNA from 1 species